rnacentral:rRNA from 1 species
UACGAAGGGGGCUAGCGUUGCUCGGAAUCACUGGGCGUAAAGCGCACGUAGGCGGAUCUUUAAGUCAGGGGUGAAAUCCCAAGGCUCAACCUUGGAACUGCCUUUGAUACUGGGGAUCUCGAGUCCGGAAGAGGUUGGUGGAACUGCGAGUGUAGAGGUGAAAUGCGUAGAUAUCGGGAGGAACACCAGUGGCGAAGGCGAUCAUCUGGGGUUGUUCUGACGCUGAGGAGCGAAAGCUAGGGGAGCAAACGGG